GACGGAGGGCGCUAGCGUUGUUCGGAAUCACUGGGCGUAAAGGGCGCGUAGGCGGCCAUUUAAGUCGGAGGUGAAAGCCCGGGGCUCAACCUCGGAACGGCCUUCGAGACUGGAUGGCUAGAGACCGGAAGAGGAGGGUGGAAUACCCAGUGUAGAGGUGAAAUUCGUAGAUAUUGGGUAGAACACCAGUGGCGAAAGCGGCUCUCUGGUCCGGUUCUGACGCUGAGGCGCGAAAGCGUGGGGAGCAAACAGG
rnacentral:rRNA from 1 species